GUCGAUCGGCCGGCCGGCCGGUCGGUCGGUCGGCCGGUCGGUCGGUCGGUCGGUCGGUCGGUCGGUCGGUCGGUCGGUCUGUCU
rnacentral:miRNA from 1 species